rnacentral:lncRNA from 1 species
AAGAAGCUCUCAAAAUAGUUAACCAUGGAGGAAAAAUGACCUAAAAUCGCGGAUGAGAUGAAAUUAUAACAUUCUGCUCAGCACUGACCAUUCCUUCAUCGCGAUCGUAGGACUUCCAUCGCAAUCACGAAGCACAAAAUACAUGCCCUAAUAUUUACUCUACGCGAACGCGGUGAGGUCCGCGCGAACGCGAUACUCAGAACUACAACUCUACGCAAACACGGAUAAAUCCAUGCAAACGCGAUGCACCACUCGACCAACUCAUACGAUCAUGAUCCCUGCUAUGCGAUCGAAAAAAAAAUCAUGAACUUCCCUCAUCACAGCCCUAUGUGACCGCGUAGAAGAAUUUCUCUGCAACAGUUGAACUCCAAAACCUGCAAUUUCCAGCUAUCUGUUAAGGCACAAAAUGGCCUGACUGCCAUUCAAAGCUCACCCUAGGCCCUUGGGACCUCAACUAAACCUACCAAAAUAAACCACAACAUCAUUCAAACUUGUUUCAAUCAUCAAAGCACAUCAAACAACAUCAAAUUAUCCAAAACUCAUUGAGUACAAGCCUAAGUUUUGAAAAAAACUUGUUAAAUUCACUUUUGAUCAAAAACCCG